rnacentral:rRNA from 1 species
UGGGGAAUAUUGCACAAUGGGCGCAAGCCUGAUGCAGCCAUGCCGCGUGUGUGAAGAAGGCCUUCGGGUUGUAAAGCACUUUCAGCGAGGAGGAAGGUGGUGAGCUUAAUACGUUCAUCAAUUGACGUUACUCGCAGAAGAAGCACCGGCUAACUCCGUGCCAGCAGCCGCGGUAAUACGGAGGGUGCAAGCGUUAAUCGGAAUUACUGGGCGUAAAGCGCACGCAGGCGGUUUGUUAAGUCAGAUGUGAAAUCCCCGGGCUCAACCUGGGAACUGCAUUUGAAACUGGCAAGCUAGAGUCUCGUAGAGGGGGGUAGAAUUCCAGGUGUAGCGGUGAAAUGCGUAGAGAUCUGGAGGAAUACCGGUGGCGAAGGCGGCCCCCCUGGANGAAGACUGACGCUCAGGUGCGAAAGCGUGGGGCAGCAAACAGGAUUAGAUACCCUGGUAGUCCACGCUGUAAAACGAUGUCGAUUUGGAGGUUGUG